UCUCUCGGAUCCGGGAUGGGUAGUUCCAGGAGAUUUUAAGAGACAGGUGUGUGUGUGUGUGUGUGUUACCUGGAGUUGAUCGGAGAGGUAGGAAGAGAGGCGGGGGCCGGAGUAUCAGUCUCAUCUUCCUCAUCCUCACCCCACUCUUCCUCUCUCAGAGGGGUAAUGUUGUUCCCCAGCCACACAGAAUGGAUGGACACCUGAUGGAGAGAGACAAAGAGAGAGGAAUUAGAGAGAGAGAGAGACAAUAAAGGAGAGGAAUUAGAGAGAGAGACAAUAAAGGAGAGGAAUUAGAGAGAGAGACAAUAAAGGAGAGGAAUUAGAGAGAGAGAGACAAUAAAGGAGAGGAAUUAGAGAGAGAGAGAGAGAGACUGAACAUAUCUGCAAGAGAAGGACACAACUAUGCCAUUUGGUCUGUCUUCCCUUUCCUCCGCCCCCUCUCUCCUUCCAUCCCUCCAUCCUACCUGUCCCAGUUUGUAGUCCAUCUCUCUCUCCUUCCAUCCCUCCAUCCUACCUGUCCCAGUUUGUAUCCAUCUCUCUCUCCUUCCAUCCCUCCAUCCUACCUGUCCCAGUUUGUAGUCCAUGUGUCCCAUCUCUCUCUCCCUCCAUCCUACCUGUCCCAGUUUGUAGUCCAUCUCUCUCUCCUUCCAUCCCUCCA
ensembl:lncRNA